rnacentral:misc_RNA from 1 species
GACGGAGGAUGCAAGCGUUAUCCGGAAUCACUGGGUUUAAAGGGUGCGUAGGUGGUUUUGUAAGUCAGUGGUGAAAGCCCGGAGCUUAACUCCGGAACUGCCAUUGAUACUGCUUAACUUGAAUCAACUUGAGGUGGAUGGAAUAAUACAUGUAGCGGUGAAAUGCUUAGAUAUGUAUUAGAACACCGAUUGCGAAGGCAGUUCACUAAGGUUGUAUUGACACUGAGGCACGAAAGCGUGGGGAUCAAACAGG